rnacentral:rRNA from 1 species
AUUGAACGCUGGCGGCAGGCCUAACACAUGCAAGUCGAGCGGAUGAAAGGGGCUUGCUCCUGGAUUCAGCGGCGGACGGGUGAGUAAUGCGCAGGAAUCUACCUAGUAGUGGGGGAUAACGUUUCGAAAGGGACGCUAAUACCGCAUACGUUCUGAGGAAGAAAGCAGGGGAUCGUAAGACCUUGCGCUAUUAGAUGAGCUUGCGUCCGAUUAGCUAGUUGGUGGGGUAAAGGCCUACCAAGGCGACGAUCGGUAACUGGUCUGAGAGGAUGAUCAGUCACACUGGAACUGAGACACGGUCCAGACUCCUACGGGAGGCAGCAGUGGGGAAUAUUGGACAAUGGGGGCAACCCUGAUCCAGCCAUGCCGCGUGUGUGAAGAAGGCCU